UACGUAGGUGGCAAGCGUUAUCCGGAUUUAUUGGUCGUAAAGGGAACGCAGGCGGUCUUUUAAGUCUGAUGUGAAAGCCUUCGGCUUAACCGGAGUAGUGCAUUGGAAACUGGGAGACUUGAGUGCAGAAGAGGAGAGUGGAACUCCAUGUGUAGCGGUGAAAUGCGUAGAUAUAUGGAAGAACACCAGUGGCGAAAGCGGCUCUCUGGUCUGUAACUGACGCUGAGGUUCGAAAGCGUGGGUAGCAAACAGG
rnacentral:rRNA from 1 species